rnacentral:rRNA from 1 species
GAUGAACGCUGGCGGCGUGCCUAAUACAUGCAAGUCGAGCGAACAGACGAGGAGCUUGCUCCUCUGACGUUAGCGGCGGACGGGUGAGUAACACGUGGAUAACCUACCUAUAAGACUGGGAUAACUUCGGGAAACCGGAGCUAAUACCGGAUAAUAUAUUGAACCGCAUGGUUCAAUAGUGAAAGACGGUUUUGCUGUCACUUAUAGAUGGAUCCGCGCCGCAUUAGCUAGUUGGUAAGGUAACGGCUUACCAAGGCAACGAUGCGUAGCCGACCUGAGAGGGUGAUCGGCCACACUGGAACUGAGACACGGUCCAGACUCCUACGGGAGGCAGCAGUAGGGAAUCUUCCGCAAAGGGCGAAAGCCUGACGGAGCAACGCCGCGUGAGUGGUGAAGGUCUUCGGAUCGUAAAACUCUGUUAUUAGGGAAGAACAAAUGUGUAAGUAACUAUGCACGUCUUGACGGUACCUAAUCAGAAAGCCACGGCUAACUACGUG